AUAGUCUAUUUUAUGAUACGUGCACUGAUCAGAUUUUAUUAAUAUAAAUUUUAGGAUGUUUUUACUCUGAAUAUUUUGCAUAUAGAAAAUAUAACUGUAGAUGUAAAUACAUUUUAACUAUAAUAUUACAUAAUAACAAAGCUAUAUUUUAUGAAAAAAUUAAGAAAAAUUAAAGAUGAAUGUCAUUGCGAAUAAAAACAUAACUAUACAAUAGAUAUGGUUUAGAUUUUUAUAAAUAAUAUAAAUAUUAGUCAUUGAUUUAUGUUUACAUUAUUGAAACCAUAUAAUUACAUAGAGUUUUUUAAAAAUUAUUAGCUUAUUAUUUUAUCGAAUUAUGUAAAAAAUAAUAUAUUAUUUAAUUUAAAAUUAGUAAAAUUUAUUAAUUUUAUCAUAUUUAUUAAUUUAUUAAUACUUUUGAAGUUUCUACUGUGAAUCCUUAUUUAGCACAAAUCUAAUAUCCACAUAAACAAAUACUCUGUUAUCAUUUAUUCUUGUAAUAUUAUAGCAUAUUAUUUCUAUUACUUUUUUGUGCAACAAAAGACUUUCAUAGAACCCACAUCAAUAUAUACCACGUAUAAACCCAGAAAACUAAUGAUAAACGUAUAAUUUUAAACAAGUGCGUAUUAAACAUAAGUCAUAACAAUUCAAUAGUCAUAUAGAUAUUUUAAUAUUUAUUAUAAUGAGAUAUUCUAACAUAAACAUUUUAAGUAAAUCGAUAUGUGUUCUGCUAUAUUAUGUAACUACUAAAUUGUCAUGAAAUGAAACAUAAUAAGGUGAUAGUAUGAUUUAAUAGUAUUGACUGUGACAUAGUUUCUCUGAGGCAUGAACGGGUAACUAAACCUUAUACUAUUCAAGUUGGUUUUUCAAACUAUUAGACCAUCUUUAACGCUGAUGCUUAGUGGGCUGCUUAGUGAUUUUUUUAUUAAAAAAAAAAAGAAAAUGAAUUAAUUGGAGAGGAAGCGCUGCUUAAUUAGGUUUCAGAGGAAGCGAUGCUAAUAGGACACGUGUUGGCAUGAUGCGAGUCUGUGUCCCUUUCUCUAUCUCUCUCUCUCUCUCACGAAACACAAGCGUUUCUUCUGUAUCUCUCUCGACGACUCCGCCUUCAAUCUUCUCCUCCUCUCGACGAAAUCGAUCUCUCCUCGACGGUUCCGUGAGCAAUCGACGAUGAUGUCUCCUUGUAUCUCUCGCUCUCCUCGAAGCCUCCGUGAUCAAUCGACGGUGAUGUCGCCUCGUCUCUGUCGCUCUCCCCGAAGCCUCCGUGAUGAUCGACGAUGUUCUCUCCUCGUCUAUCUCGCUAUCCUCGACGCCUCCUCGACGCCUCGUUGAGAAACAUGUGCAUGAAUUUGUCCUCGUCUCUCUCUCUCCUCGACGACCCUGCGAUGAAUCUCUCGGCGUCUCGCGGUGUCGAUCUCCCCGAGGAUGAAGCUCCUCCAUCUCUCUUUCUCGGCGUCUCGCGGUGUCGAUCUCCUCGAGGAUGAAGAAUCACCCCGAGGAUGAAGCUCCUCCAUCUCUCUCUCUCGGCGUCUCGCGGUGUCGAUCUCCUCGAGGAUGAAGAAUCACCCCGAGGAUGAAGCUCCUCCAUCUCUCUCUCUCGGCGUCUCGCGGUGUCGUUCUCCUACGAGGAUGAAGAAUCACCCCGAGGAUGAAGCUCCUCCAUCUCUCUCUCUCGGCGUCUCGCGGUGUCGAUCUCCUCUCUCAGGCUCGGAGCUCUCCUCUACGUCAACAAAAGAAAGGUAAAGCUAUGGAUGUUGCCAUUUAAGUGUGAAUCGACCUUUGAUAUUUUUAUUAGUUUGUUCCUGCCUCAAGAUUUGUCUAUCUUUGUUUCUUCAUAUGGUCGGAGCUAGAGACGAAGGUUCGUCAAACAAGACGUCUACAAUGAAGACAUGUAAAACUUCAACCCUCUUUGAUCUGUCAAAUGGUUGUUGUCUGAAUUGUUUAAAAAUGGAUGAAAUUGAAUCGAGAUAGUGUCAACUGAAUCGAGUGUCAUGAAUGGAUGUUGUCUGAAAUUGUUUAAGAGUUCUACUAUAUCAUUUAGCUUCUGGUCUGAAUUGAAUCGAAUGUCCUGAAUUAGUUUUGUAUCUGUUUGUUUGUCUCUUGAGGUAUAUUUCUCAUUGUUGUUUUGGUUUCUGUUUAUUUGUGUCAUGAGCUCCAUGGAUGAAGGUUCGUUAAAGAAGAUGACUACAACUGCAGGAUCGUUUGCAAGCAAAGGAGUGUAUUCACCGGACAAAAAGAGGUGAAAGAGACAAAGAGGGAAAGAGUAAAAGAGUGCAAGAUUGGAAGAGUGGAAGUCACAUGUUCUUGGAGUCUUGUUACAUGUUCAGUGUGUCACGAGUCUUGUUGUUUCGUUGUUUCAAGUCACGAGUGUUGUUGUUUUGUUCCAUUGUGUCACAGACUUUUGUAAUAUUUAGUUGUAUCAAGUCACGAGUCUUGUUGUCUUGUAUGUCACGGACUUAUAUAAGUUUUAGGAGACUUGUAUUAUAAAGUAGUUGCUUCUCUCUAACUUUGUAUUCACGAUUGCUCAAGAUCACAUCUCUCUUUCUUUGUAUCAUUUUCAAAGUUCCUCAACAUUAGAAUUUUCUUUCUUUGUAUCAUCAUCAUCAUUCCUCAACAUCACAACUCUUUUUCUUCUUUUCAUUUUCACGAUUCCUCAACAUCACAAGUCUUCUUUUUAUCACAAAACAAGAUCGUCGUUUUAUCACUAAGUUUUUUAAACACCUUUUCACCUUCUCUUUCUCAUGGCAUCUUCUUCUCAAAACAAAUUUGAAGAUUCACUUGAUGAUGCAUUUGAUGAAUAUUUUGUUCAACAUUUUGAUCAAUAUUUUGAUCAAACAUUUGAGAAUUUUACCAUUGGUCAUCAAGAAAAGCAAGAAAACAAAGUAAAAACGAGCCUAUAUUGAAAGAAACCGUGAAGCGGGCAAUCUUCGUCUGUGGAAUGAUUAUUUCAGUGAAAAUCCAACAUACACUGGUACUCUUUUUCGCCGACGAUUUAGAAUGAACAAACCGUUGUUCAUGAAAAUUGUUGAUCGACUCUCCAAUGAAAUGGAAUUCUUUCGACAAAAACGAGAUGGUCUCGGAAGGCAAGGUCUCUCUGCACUUCAAAAAUGUACAGCAGCCAUUCAUGUCUUGGCAUAUGGUACUGCGGCUGAUGCGGUUGACGAAUACCUCAGGCUCGGUGAAACUACUACUCGGUCAUGUGUCGAACAUUUUGUGGAAGGAAUAAUACAUUUAUUCGGCGAUGAGUACCUAAGAAGACCAACACCGGCUGAUCUUCAACGUCUACUUGAUAUUGGUGAGUUUCGUGGAUUUCUCGGGAUGAUAGGAAGCAUCGAUUGUAUGCAUUGGGAGUGAAAAAAUUGUCCCACCGCUUGGAAAUGACAAUAUUCACGAGGUUCGGGAAAACUCACAAUCGUUUUGGAUGCGGUGGCUUCGUAUGAUCUAUGGAUAUGUCAUGCGUUUUUUGGACCUCCAGGUACCUUAAAUGAUAUCAAUGUUCUUGAUCGCUCACCUGUUUUUGAUGACAUAAUAAAUGGUCAAGCUCCGCAAGUCACUUUCUCUGUCAAUGGAAGAGAGUAUCAUUUGGCUUACUAUCUGACCGACGGUAUUUAUCUGAAAUGGGCAACUUUUAUCCAAUCUAUUUCAUUACCACAAGGACCGAAAGCGGCUUUAUUUGCUAAACAUCAAGAAGCUGUCCGAAAAGAUGUCGAGCGUGCUUUUGGAGUCUUGCAAGCUCGCUUUGCCAUUGUUAAAAAAACUGCAUUUUUUUGGGAUAAAGCCAAAAUUGGGAAGAUUAUGAGAGCAUGUAUCAUACUCCAUAAUAUGAUAGUAGAAGACGAACAAGAUGGAUAUACUCAAUUUGAUGUUUCAGGAUUCCAACAAGGAGAAGAAACCGGAAGUUCACAUGUCAAUCUCGAUUUUUCCUCAAAUAUGCCUACAAAUCUCGUCAAUAUGAUGGGUGUUCGAACUAGAAUCUGUGAUAGGCCAAUGCAUGAACAACUCAAAGCUGAUUUGGUUGAACAUUUAUGGAGUAAAUUUGGAGAGGAUGCAGACAACAACUAAGUUCCGAAUGUUUUUUCAAAUUAUUCUCGUUUAUUUACUAAUCUUUGUUAUUAUGUUUUUAUUUUCAAAUCUAUGUUUUAAAUUAUCUUUUCAUAUGUUUGAUAUAAUAAAUAAUUUAAAAAAAAAAUAAUUAAGAACCCCUAAUUAAACACCUACCAUUGGAGCACACAUUCUGCUACUUUCUUAACUUGAGUUCUUAAGUACAUGUAAAGUACAAUUAAUUAUUUAAAUAAUCAUUAAACACUCCAUAUGGAGUGUUAGGGUUAAAGAUGGUCUCAUGCUUCUUGGAAAGAGAGCAACUCUCGCCUACAUUUAGCUGUCUAUUCUCUCAUUUGCUGAAAUCAGCCUAACAAGUAUGAGCUUGAUUCAUUUUCAAUGGCUCACUGCAACCGGCCCUCAGGCCUCAAACUCAAUUGUUCUGUUCUGUCUGCGGAUAGCUUGUGAUCUAAGUCAGUGUGUUGUAACUUGUACGCCUGUGGCUGUUGGCUGUUAAUUCUUUUGUAAACGCUGAUCAAUUUGUGCUUCAAGUCUUAGGACAUCUUCUUUUGUAUAAUAAAUGGAUUUUUUUUUUUUAAAUGACGAUAUUUUAAACCAUUGAUCCAUUAUCGCUAUAACUUAACAUGGUAUCAGAACCUUUUUAGACCAUCAGUUCCUAGGAUCAUCAUCAUGCCACUUUCCAGUCGGAUUAAUGGGUUAGGGUACCGACUCGCUCUAAUACCAAUUAGCGACAGUAAUAGAACAAGUGAAAGAACUCAAACAAACAGCAACACAAUCUCCAACCUUCCAAGAUCUUCCAACAGAAGCAGAUGAAGUAACUGUUCAGCUGUUUGACCAAAUUAACUAAAACUUGAAAUUCACUUUCGAAAGGCAACGCCACAUAAUCUGAAAAGCCCGUAACUACAAACAAAAGUUCUUUUAAAAACACAACAUCCGAGAAAACUAAAAAUUAGAGAGAAAAAAACCUCACAAGGGCCUGACCCGACCCGACCCGACACGUUCCGAUUUCAGAAAAGCUAAAUAAGAUGAAACAUCAAUUUAACGACCACCAUAACCAGAAUUCUGAUCAACGAUGGCGGCCACGACGUCCUUAGACUCCUUCAAGAGCUUCACACUCUUCUCCAGCUUCUCCCUCUUGCUCGCCACAGACGGAGACUCCUCCAUCAUCCUCUCAACUCCUCCGCCGCCUCACGGAUCAACCAUCUCCGCCACGAUCUCCUUCUGAAACUGAGCGUUCACCAGAUUCUUCACCGAGAACUGAAGAAACAGCGCAAGGUUAUCCACAAUCCGCCUCAGAACAAUGUUCUCCUCAUCUUCAUGUCAAACGCCUGCUGCAGCAGAUGAGCGUGGUACUUCCUCAGAUGCGAGAUCUUCACUUCCCCAAAUCCAGCGAGAGAGAAGCUCUCAGGUUUGGCCUCGUCGUACAACACGGCGUGGACGAAGCUCUGCUGCGAAGCGGUCUUCUCCGUCCAAGACGUCAUGUAAUCAGGGUUACACGUGUAGUCCGUCAGCUUCUCCAUCUCAACGAUCUCGGCAACUCUGUUCACUGACUGCUCCUUCAUCUUGGUGAUCAGAUUGCGUCCGGCUCAUUUAACGGAAGACUGAAUCUGCGGAAAGUUUUCAGCGUAUUUUGAAAUCACCGGAAUGAGAACAGCUUCGAUGUAGUCCCAAAUCUUCUUGAUGAACUCCACCGGCUUGGAAUGGAUUCCGUCGACGUACUGUGAUAGUAUAGCCAAGAAAGCUGAUCUCGGAAUGAAAUUGGGAAGGCCAACGCAUUUGCAUUCGUCGAGAAUCUUGAUUUCGUCCAUCAAGAAAUCGAUGGUGACGUCGUUGGAGUGUGCUUGGAGAUUGUCUGAGAAUUGGCUUAACAUUUCAGCCAAGCGAGCGGUGCAGUGCAUCUUAUGAUCUCCAGGGUACUCGGAGAAAUCUCCUUGGAUGAGGAUUCUCAGGAGAGACUCUUUUGCUGAGCCAAUGAUGUCCAUCAGUGUCAUCAAUGCUUCCCCUGCGGAAGCCAUUACCAUUGGCAGCUUGUUCAGUUCGAGGACACUGAUCUCCAUCUUCUCGUUGAUCUUGCGGACGAUUUCUGGUAAGCAGCGGGCGAUCAUCGUCGCCUGGAUAAGCAUUAGCUUCUGGGCUAAGACCGGAAUCCCCACAAUGUCAUCAUCAAUCAAGCUUAGCUUUGGAUGAGUCCUGAACAGAAGCUCUUCUUGCAUCCUAGCUUCUUGGUAUGUCUCUUCUCCGAUUCGGUUUCUCACACAGACAUAACCAAGUCCGAUGCUCACAUCGUCUGCUGUAACCUUCUGUAGAAGACCUUCAGGAGCCAUGUCUGCCUUUGUGACAACAGCCAGAGUCCGUUCACCGGUUUUAUCAACCUGUCUAGACAUGCGGAUGGAUUCACAGGUCGUGAAGUCGACCGUAGCUGACAGAACAUUGAGAAUGAUCGAUUCUUGAGGCUUGAUGUACUUCAUGAUCAUAGCAGAUAUCUGCUCAUAGAUGUUUUCAGGCUGUCCAUUCACUGGAACGCGAGUUAUCCCAGGGAGAUCAACCAUGGUAAGAUCAGGAACACCAGCCUUCUUCACAUGGAGUGUUAAAGGAGCGUCAGAGACCCCUUUACCAGAUCCUGCAACAUAGAUAACGGUCUCAUUAACAUUAAACUAUCCAUGGAAAGAGAGAGAGAGAGAGAGAGAUAACAUACCAGCGAUCACAUCUGUUGCAGCACAAAUAGCUUUAGCGAUGUGUUCCUCAUCCGUAUGAACAACUGUGUCACCAUACUCUAGCCAGAUCUCAGGCUCAGUGCUGUAACUUCUUUGGAGUCUCAUCACAAGAGGAACCCUAGUGCAGAUUCCUUGCCCACGAGGCAAACUGAUCCCUGCCAAGGACUCAAGAACACUCGACUUCCCAGAGGACUGGUAUCCAACAACGACAAUGGUUGGAAGCUGGAUCCCUUCUCUCAUUACAUUCAGGUUCCUCAGCCUGUCAACAGUGUCCAGCAACGGCCUGAUUCGGUCAUUGUAAGAAGAAACUAUCGGUGCUUCAAUGGGUACAAUUUUGUUGGCCGGGGGGUUUGCUUCGACAAUAGCCAGAGAAGAAGAGGUUUUAGAGACAACAUGCUUGUUACGACCUGCCAUUUUCGACUAUAGUGGAAGAGAUUGCUACGGAUAUAAGAAAUAUUUAUGAAAAAGUGUGAUUCUUCUCAGAUGACACUCGAAGAUAUAUAUAGAGAGAUAUCAUAAGGGUUUUAUGUCUGAGUGAUGUAAUCAAGAAAUAAAACGUUUGAGAUGAAAGGAUGUAGGCGGACGUGCAUGUUGGAAUUGAAAAAAGUUAACUAAGUCCAUAAUUACACCUA